CAUGUCCUUUUGAUUUUAAUUUAAGGUUUGAUCUGCUCAAUGAUAUUUAAAUAGCCGCAGUAUUUUGACUGUGCAAAGGUAGCAUAAUAAUUAGUUUUUUAAUUAAAAACUGGAAUGAAUGAUUGGACGAAAUAGUUACUGUCUCUUUUAAAUUGAUUAUUGAAUUUUAUUUUUAAGUAAAAAAGCUUAAUUGUAAAUAAAAGACGAGAAGACCCUAUAGAGUUUUAUAUUGAGGCUUUAUUGGUUUUUUGUAAUACGUUUUAGGGGCUUUGUAUUUAGUUGGGGUGACUUAAAGAUUAAAUUAAUUCUUUAAUAUGAUAGUUGUUGAUAAAUAAUAUUUAAAUCUAGAUUUUUAAAUUUAAUAAAAAUUACCUUAGGGAUAACAGCGUAAUUUUUCUUUAAAGUUCAUAUUGAAAGAAAAUUUUACGACCUCGAUGUUGGAUUAAAAUUUAUUUUUGGAGUAGUUGCUUUAAUAUUAGGUCUGUUCGACCUUUAAAAUU
rnacentral:rRNA from 1 species